rnacentral:rRNA from 1 species
GAGACUCUGUGCGCGUGCAUAUCAAUAAGCGGAGGAAAAGAAACUAACAAGGAUUCCCUUAGUAACGGCGAGUGAAGCGGGAAGAGCUCAAAUUUGAAAUCUUCAAGGUUCUACCUUGACGAAUUGUAGUUUAAAGAAGUGUUUUCUGUUAGAUGAGUAGCAAAAGUUCCUUGGAAUGGGACAUCAUAGAGGGUGAGAAUCCCGUAUUUGGUUAUUCAUUCUAGCUUUGUGAUACACUUUCAAAGAGUCGGAUUGUUUGGGAAUGCAGUCCAAAAUGGGUGGUAAAUUUCAUCUAAAGCUAAAUAUUGGCGAGAGACCGAUAGCGAACAAGUACCGUGAGGGAAAGAUGAAAAGAACUUUGAAAAGAGAGAUAAACAGUACGUGAAAUUGUCAAAAGGGAAGCGUUUGACACCAGUGUUGUUUAGUUGAAAAUCAAUUCAAUAGUUUUUGAUUCUAAGUAGUAUUGACUUCAUCAGCUUGCUGCUUUCUUCUCAGAAAUUAUUGAAUGCACUUUUCAGUUAACAAGUCAACAUCAAUUUCUUUUGUUGUAAAAGGGUAAGAGGAAGGUGGCUUGCGCUUCGGCUCAAGUGUUUAUAGCCUCUUAUCUCUGCAAUCGGAGAGAUUGAGGUCUGCAGCGUAGAUCCUUCGGGGUUAGAUACAUUGGUGCUAAGCUAUAGCCUUGUAUAGACAACUUGUUGACUAUGCUCAGUCAUGUAGCUUACUCGCUGAUGCUAUUUUACCUACGCUUAGGAUGUUGACUGAUAUGUAGUCGU